rnacentral:rRNA from 1 species
GCAAGUCGAGCGGUAGAGAGAAGCUUGCUUCUCUUGAGAGCGGCGGACGGGUGCCUUUGGGUAGGAAUCUGCCUGGUAGUGGGGGAUAACGUUCGGAAACGGACGCUAAUACCGCAUACGUCCUACGGGAGAAAGCAGGGGACCUUCGGGCCUUGCGCUAUCAGAUGAGCCUAGGUCGGAUUAGCUAGUUGGUGAGGUAAUGGCUCACCAAGGCGACGAUCCGUAACUGGUCUGAGAGGAUGAUCAGUCACACUGGAACUGAGACACGGUCCAGACUCCUACGGGAGGCAGCAGUGGGGAAUAUUGGACAAUGGGCGAAAGCCUGAUCCAGCCAUGCCGCGUGUGUGAAGAAGGUCUUCGGAUUGUAAAGCACUUUAAGUUGGGAGGAAGGGUUGUAGAUUAAUACUCUGCAAUUUUGACGUUACCGACAGAAUAAGCACCGGCUAACUCUGUGCCAGCAGCCGCGGUAAUACAGAGGGUGCAAGCGUUAAUCGGAAUUACUGGGCGUAAAGCGCGCGUAGGUGGUUUGUUAAGUUGGAUGUGAAAUCCCCGGGCUCAACCUGGGAACUGCAUUCAAAACUGACUGACUAGAGUAUGGUAGAGGGUGGUGGAAUUUCCUGUGUAGCGGUGAAAUGCGUAGAUAUAGGAAGGAACACCAGUGGCGAAGGCGACCACCUGGACUAAUACUGACACUGAGGUGCGAAAGCGUGGGGAGCAAACAGGAUUAGAUACCCUGGUAGUCCACGCCGUAAACGAUGUCAACUAGCCGUUGGAAGCCUUGAGCUUUUAGUGGCGCAGCUAACGCAUUAAGUUGACCGCCUGGGGAGUA